AGAGUUUGAUCAUGGCUCAGGAUGAACGCUAGCGAUAGGCCUAACACAUGCAAGUCGAGGGGCAUCACAUGAAGUAGCAAUACGGAUGGUGGCGACCGGCGCACGGGUGAGUAACGCGUAUGCAACCUGCCUACAACAGGGGGAUAACCCGUUGAAAGACGGACUAAUACCCCAUAACACAGGGGUCCCGCAUGGGAAUAUUUGUUAAAGAUUUAUCGGUUGUAGAUGGGCAUGCGUUCCAUUAGCUAGCUGGUGAGGUAAGGGCUCACCAAGGCAACGAUGGAUAGGGGAACUGAGAGGUUUAUCCCCCACACUGGUACUGAGACACGGACCAGACUCCUACGGGAGGCAGCAGUGAGGAAUAUUGGUCAAUGGGCGCAAGCCUGAACCAGCCACGUCGCGUGAAGGAAGACGGCCCUACGGGUUGUAAACUUCUUUUGUAAGGGAAUAAAGUGCAGUACGCGUACUGUUUUGCAUGUACCUUACGAAUAAGGAUCGGCUAACUCCGUGCCAGCAGCCGCGGUAAUACGGAGGAUCCGAGCGUUAUCCGGAUUUAUUGGGUUUAAAGGGUGCGCAGGCGGGAGAUUAAGUCGGCGGUGAAAUUUUGCAGCUCAACUGUAAAAGUGCCUUCGAAACUGGUUUUCUUGAGUGUAGAUGAAGUAGGCGGAAUUUGUGGUGUAGCGGUGAAAUGCAUAGAUAUCACGAGGAACUCCGAUUGCGCAGGCAGCUUACUAAGC
rnacentral:rRNA from 1 species